UAAGGCCGAGAGCUGAUGACGAGUUACCCUUUGGGUGACGAAGUGGUUGAUGCCAUGCUUCCAAGAAAAGCUUCUAAGCUUCAGGUAACCAGGAACCGUACCCCAAACCGACACAGGUGGUUGGGUAGAGAAUACCAAGGCGCUUGAGAGAACUCGGGUGAAGGAACUAGGCAAAAUGGCACCGUAACUUCGGGAGAAGGUGCGCCGGUGAGGGUGAAGCACUUGCUGCGUAAGCCCACGCCGGUCGAAGAUACCAGGCCGCUGCGACUGUUUAUUAAAAACACAGCACUCUGCAAACACGAAAGUGGACGUAUAGGGUGUGACGCCUGCCCGGUGCCGGAAGGUUAAUUGAUGGGGUUAGCUAACGCGAAGCUCUUGAUCGAAGCCCCGGUAAACGGCGGCCGUAACUAUAACGGUCCUAAGGUAGCGAAAUUCCUUGUCGGGUAAGUUCCGACCUGCACGAAUGGCGUAACGAUGGCGGCGCUGUCUCCACCCGAGACUCAGUGAAAUUGAAAUCGCUGUGAAGAUGCAGUGUAUCCGCGGCUAGACGGAAAGACCCCGUGAACCUUUACUAUAGCUUUGCACUGGACUUUGAAUUUGCUUGUGUAGGAUAGGUGGGAGGCUUUGAAGCGUGGACGCCAGUUCGCGUGGAGCCAUCCUUGAAAUACCACCCUGGCAACUUUGAGGUUCUAACUCAGGUCCGUUAUCCGGAUCGAGGACAGUGUAUGGUGGGUAGUUUGACUGGGGCGGUCUCCUCCUAAAGAGUAACGGAGGAGUACGAAGGUGCGCUCAGACCGGUCGGAAAUCGGUCGUAGAGUAUAAAGGCAAAAGCGCGCUUGACUGCGAGACAGACACGUCGAGCAGGUACGAAAGUAGGUCUUAGUGAUCCGGUGGUUCUGUAUGGAAGGGCCAUCGCUCAACGGAUAAAAGGUACUCCGGGGAUAACAGGCUGAUACCGCCCAAGAGUUCAUAUCGACGGCGGUGUUUGGCACCUCGAUGUCGGCUCAUCACAUCCUGGGGCUGAAGCCGGUCCCAAGGGUAUGGCUGUUCGCCAUUUAAAGUGGUACGCGAGCUGGGUUUAGAACGUCGUGAGACAGUUCGGUCCCUAUCUGCCGUGGACGUUUGAGAUUUGAGAGGGGCUGCUCCUAGUACGAGAGGACCGGAGUGGACGAACCUCUGGUGUUCCGGUUGUCACGCCAGUGGCAUUGCCGGGUAGCUAUGUUCGGGAAAGAUAACCGCUGAAAGCAUCUAAGCGGGAAACUUGCCUCAAGAUGAGAUCUCACUGGGACCUUGAGUCCCCUGAAGGGCCGUCGAAGACUACGACGUUGAUAGGCAGGGUGUGUAAGCGCUGUGAGGCGUUGAGCUAACCUGUACUAAUUGCCCGUGAGGCUUGACCAUA
rnacentral:rRNA from 2 species